GGGAGGUGAUUGAAUCAUGGGGGUGGUGUUUCUCAUGCUGUUCUUCUGAGAGGGAAUAAAUCACUCUUAUAAAGGGGUGAUUUAUUUUAUAAUAAAUUACAUUUUUAUAUUUUUUAUAGUAUUUUAUAAAGGGGAGUCCCCCUACACAAGCUCUCUUGCCUGCUGCCAUGUAAGACCUGACUAUGCUCCUCAUUCGUCUUCAGCCAUGACUGUGAGGCCUCCCCAUCUAUGUGGAACUUCUCACACCAGUUAAGAUAAAGCCAAAUGUUUACAUCCAAAGAAUUGAUGGAAGGUGCUCAGCUAUGAGCUAAGAAGGGAUCACCAGAAGAUCAUUUGGCUGCACGCUUUUCUGACUCCUGGUAGGAGGGAGUACCAGGAGUACUGCUUUUUGGGCUCUCACCAAGUCCUGGAGUUCUCUCAGUUGUUUUCCUGUCAGUCCCCCAAUGCCCAGAUCCUCCUCGUCCUCUUCUGGCUGAGCACUGACAUUACCAGAAGAUGGACCCUGUUUGAUAAAGAAUUCUUCAUGCUGGUCCAAGAGGAGUCCGUGGAGCAUCCAGGCUGACAGUUGUUUAUACAUGACCCCAUGACAAACGGCCAGGAUUCUGGGCAGAGCGGAAAGUAAGAGGCUUAGAAGUCAUGCUUUAAACUGUUACACGAUAAACAGAGGUCUGAGAGUUUGAUGAGUCAUAAGGGAAAUAACCAAUUAAGUUAAAAAUAAUUGUGCUAUUUUAAUUUAAAUGUGGGUGAACUAACUCACUGAAUUUCCAUAUUUGCAGCCUACAUAAUGAAAUCUAAAAUGUUCAGUAUAUGUGCUGAUAUUAUUUUAGGGAAGACAUUUUCUUUCCUUCUUUUAUGUAAUUUUCAAAACUGAUGGAUCCUAAAUAUGUACAACCGUUUGAUAGCAAUAAAAAAUAAAAAUAAUAAAAAAUUUUAAAAAUGGA